rnacentral:rRNA from 1 species
AGAGUUUGAUCUUCGGCUCAGGACGAACGCUGGCGGCGUGCCUAAUACAUGCAAGUCGAACGCUUCUUUUCUACCGAGUGCUUGCACUCACUUGAAAAGAGGAGUGGCGGACGGGUGAGUAACACGUGGGUAACCUACCCAUCAGAGGGGGAUAACACUUGGAAACAGGUGCUAAUACCGCAUAAUAGUCGACAUCGCAUGGUGUUGAUUUGAAAGACGCUUUCGGGUGUCACUGAUGGAUGGACCCGCGGUGCAUUAGCUAGUUGGUGAGGUAACGGCUCACCAAGGCCAUGAUGCAUAGCCGACCUGAGAGGGUGAUCGGCCACACUGGGACUGAGACACGGCCCAGACUCCUACGGGAGGCAGCAGUAGGGAAUCUUCGGCAAUGGACGAAAGUCUGACCGAGCAACGCCGCGUGAGUGAAGAAGGUUUUCGGAUCGUAAAACUCUGUUGUUAGAGAAGAACAAGUAGGAGAGUAACUGCUCUUACCUUGACGGUAUCUAACCAGAAAGCCACGGCUAACUACGUGCCAGCAGCCGCGGUAAUACGUAGGUGGCAAGCGUUGUCCGGAUUUAUUGGGCGUAAAGCGAGCGCAGGCGGUUUCUUAAGUCUGAUGUGAAAGCCCCCGGCUCAACCGGGGAGGGUCAUUGGAAACUGGGAGACUUGAGUGCAGAAGAGGAGAGUGGAAUUUCCAUGUGUAGCGGUGAAAUGCGUAGAUAUAUGGGAGGAACACCAGUGGGCGAAGCGACUCUCUGGUCUGUAACUGACGCUGAGCUUCGAAGCGUGGGGAGCAACAGGAUUAGAUACCCUGG